GAUGAACGCUGACAGAAUGCUUAACACAUGCAAGUCUACUUGAAUUUGGGUUUUUAACUUAGAUUUGGGUGGCGGACGGGUGAGUAACGCGUAAAGAACUUGCCUCACAGCUAGGGACAACAUUUAGAAAUGAAUGCUAAUACCUAAUAUUAUGAUAAUAGGGCAUCCUAUAAUUAUGAAAGCUAUAUGCGCUGUGAGAGAGCUUUGCGUCCCAUUAGCUAGUUGGAGAGGUAACGGCUCACCAAGGCGAUGAUGGGUAGCCGGCCUGAGAGGGUGAUCGGCCACAAGGGGACUGAGACACGGCCCUUACUCCUACGGGAGGCAGCAGUGGGGAAUAUUGGACAAUGGACCGAGAGUCUGAUCCAGCAAUUCUGUGUGCACGAUGAAGUUUUUCGGAAUGUAAAGUGCUUUCAGUUGGGAAGAAAAAAAUGACGGUACCAACAGAAGAAGUGACGGCUAAAUACGUGCCAGCAGCCGCGGUAAUACGUAUGUCACGAGCGUUAUCCGGAUUUAUUGGGCGUAAAGCGCGUCUAGGUGGUUAUGUAAGUCUGAUGUGAAAAUGCAGGGCUCAACUCUGUAUUGCGUUGGAAACUGUGUAACUAGAGUACUGGAGAGGUAAGCGGAACUACAAGUGUAGAGGUGAAAUUCGUAGAUAUUUGUAGGAAUGCCGAUGGGGAAGCCAGCUUACUGGACAGAUACUGACGCUGAAGCGCGAAAGCGUGGGUAGCAAACAGG
rnacentral:rRNA from 1 species